CCUAACACAGAGUUUCCUCAUUUACUUUUAUACAUUGCUAUUUGCCUAUGGGCAACCUCUGUCUGACUCCUCUGUCUCCAGAGAGAAUCCUUUGUCCUUCCAGAGCAAGUAUCUCUUCCCCUUCACCCUUGUUCAUUUCCCCUUUCUCCCUUUAUUUCCUUCCUGUCUUUGCCUGUGGUUUCCUGCCCUUUGUCUCUCUGAGACAAAUACAUCUCCUUUGAGCUAAAUUUUCAGUCUUCAAGUGUCUUCUGCCAGUACAGGUCCUUCCAGAGACAAUGGAGAAACCUGUAUUACUGACUUGUUCUCCACGGCUUGUUCAGCAUACAGCCCAGGAACACCUGACCAGAGAUGCACAGUGGGCUGCAGCCUCUCACAGCAGUCAUUGAGUAAGAAAAUACCUCCAGGGACAAGCCCACAGGCCUAUCUGAUGGAGCCACCAUCCAGAAUCCAUUGUGCUACCAUCCCUAAUUUGGAGCAGCUCUCUGGAAUGCUUCUUGGAUUUGCUGCCUGCGUCUCUCAACUGAAUUCUUUCCAGAAGACAAGAACUGAAGGUACCCUGUAAUACCAUCAUGCCCAGUAUCACCUAGCCUGACAAAAGUCCCUGUAAAAAAUUAUUUUCCGGGCUCCCGCUCUCACAGCCAUUGCAAUACAUUGAGCUCUAUAGAGACAGCGCCAGGGCAAGCGAGAGCCGGACGGGCACUGGGCGACUCUGUGCCUCGCGGAGGAAAAUCAACUAAACAUGGGCAAAGGAAAUCCUAAGAAGCCAAGAGGCAAAAUGUCCUCACAUGCAUUCUUUUUUUUUUUUUUUUUUUUUUUUUUUUGGUUCUUUUUUUUCGGAGCUGGGGACCGAACACAGGGCCUUGCGCUUCCUAGGUAAGCGCUCUACCCUCAUAUGCAUUCUUUGUGCAAACCUGCCGGGAGGAGCACAAGAAGCACCCGGAUGCUUCUGUCAACUUCUCAGAGUUCUCCAAGAAGUGCUCAGAGAGGUGGAAGACCAUGUCUGCUAAAGAAAAGGGGAAAUUUGAAGAUACGGCAAAGGCUGACAAGGUUCGUUAUGAAAGAGAAAUGAAAACCUACAUCCCCCCUAAAGGGGAAACCAAAAAGAAGUUCAAGGACCCAGUGCCCCCAAGAGGCCUCCUUCGGCCUCUUCUUGUUCUGUUCUGAGUACCGCACAAAAAUCAAAGGCGAGCAUCCUGGCUUAUCCAUUGGUGAUGUUGUGAAGAAACUAGGAGAGAUGUGGAACAACACUGCCGCGGAUGACAAGCAGCCCUGUGAGAAGAUGGCCGCCAAGCUGAAGGAGAAGUACGAGAAGGAUAUUGCUGCCUACAGAGCUAAAGGAAAACCUGAUGCAGCGAAAAAGGGGGUGGUCAAGGCUGAGAAGAGCAAGAAAAAGAAGGAAGAGGAAGACGACGAGGAGGAUGAAGAGGAUGAGGAAGAGGAGGAAGAAGAGGAAGACGAAGAAGAAGAUGAUGAUGAAUAAGUUGGUUCUAGCGCAGUUUUUUUUUUUCUUGUCUAUAAAACAUUUAACCCCCCUGUACACAACUCACUCCUUUUAAAGAGAAAAAUUGAAAUGUAAGGCUGUGUAAGAUUUGUUUUUAAACUGUACAGUGUCUUUUUUUUUUUUUUUUUUUUUUGUAUAGUUAACACACUACCGAAUGUGUCUUUAGCUAGCCCUGUCCUGGUGGUAUUUUCAAUAGCCACUAACCUUGCCUGGUACAGUCUGUGGGUUGUAAAUUGGCAUGGAAAUUAAAGCAGGUUCUUGUUGGUGCACAGCACAAAUUAGUUAUAUAUGGGGACAGUAGUUUGGUUUUUGGUUUCUUUCUUUUUUUGUUUUUUGUUUUUGUUUUUUUUUUUCUUUUGGUUUUCUUUUUUUUUUUUUUCCAUCUUCAGUUGUCUCUGAUGCAGCUUAUACGAAGGUAAUUGUUGUUCUGUUAACUGAAUACCACUCUGUAAUUGCAAAAAAAUGGCAGCUGUUUUGUUGACAUUCUGAAUGCUUCUAAGUAAAUACAAUUUUUUUAUUAAGAAAAUUAUUUUCCGAAGAAAAAAAAAUUUUUUUUUUUUGGUUCUUUUUUCGGAGCUGGGGACCGAACCCAGGGCCUUGCACUUCCUAGGUAAGCGCUCUACCACUGAGCUAAAUCCCCAGCCCCAGAAAAAAUUAUUUUAAAAAAUGUAUUACCUGUCUAAACAUAUGUGUGUGUGCACGCAUGGGCGUGUGUGCAUGAGAACAAGCAUCUUAGAGGCAGAAGAGGAUGUCAGGUCCAUUGGAGCUGGAGGAACAGGGGCGUAGGUUGUUAAGAGAUAGGAAGGGGGGCUGGGGAUUUAGCUCAGUGGUAGAGCGCUUACCUAGGAAGUGCAAGGCCCUGGGUUCGGUCCCCAGCUCCGGAAAAAAAAGAACCAAAAAAAAAAAAAAAAGAGAUAGGAAGGAUUGGAGGAUUGGAACAAGGCAGUGUCUCUCCUCCUGGAAGGAAGCAGUCUACUCCCGAUCUCACAUCAGCUGUGAUGGUCAGCAUAAGAUCAAGUUACUCAGUACUCUAGCACGGAGAAGAAGGAGACUUGUAAGCACCACUCCAAACAGGAAUUAUUGACAAUUGAUGGCUUUUGGGGGAGGGGUGUCAGUUUUCUUUAAGGGUGGAGUUCCAUACAUUUAACACACUGCAGUGGAUGGUCUCAUGCCCAUAAGCACAAAUUGAGCUCGAUGGGUCACUAAAAAAAAAAAAAGGGUGGGGUUGGCUGCUGACGGGCAUUUGUAACUCCAGUUUCAGAAGAUUUAACACUCUCUGCUGAGGGCACUACACACA